UGGGGAAUAUUGCACAAUGGAGGGAACUCUGAUGCAGCAACGCCGCGUGAAGGAAGAAGGUCUUCGGAUCGUAAACUUCUGUCCAAAAGGAAGAAGGAAGUGACGGUACUUUUGGAGGAAGCCCCGGCUAACUACGUGCCAGCAGCCGCGGUAAUACGUAGGGGGCAAGCGUUAUCCGGAAUUAUUGGGCGUAAAGAGUGCGUAGGUGGUCACUUAAGCGCAGGGUUUAAGGCAAUGGCUCAACCAUUGUAUGCCCUGCGAACUGGGCGACUUGAGUGCAGGAGAGGAAAGUGGAAUUCCUAGUGUAGCGGUGAAAUGCGUAGAUAUUAGGAGGAACACCGGUGGCGAAGGCGACUUUCUGGACUGAAACUGACACUGAGGCACGAAAGCGUGGGGAGCAAACAGGAUUAGAUACCCUGGUAGUCCACGCCGUAAACGAUGAGCACCAGGUGUCGGGGUCGCAAGACCUCGGUGCCGCAGUUAACGCAUUAAGUGCUCCGCCUGGGGAGUACGUUCGCAAGAAUA
rnacentral:rRNA from 1 species